UACGGAGGGUGCAAGCGUUGCUCGGAAUUAUUGGGCGUAAAGGGUAGGUAGGUGGUCUCGUUUGUCUGAGGUGAAAGCCUUGGGCUUAACCCAAGAAGUGCCUCAGAAACGGCGAGACUGGAGUCCUGGAGAGGGUCGUGGAAUUCCCGGUGUAGCGGUGAAAUGCGUAGAGAUCGGGAGGAACACCAGAGGCGAAAGCGGCGACCUGGACAGGCACUGACACUCAACUACGAAAGCGUGGGGAGCAAACAGG
rnacentral:rRNA from 1 species